GUCGACAGCGAACAAACUCGAAUAAUCAGAGCAGUGAUCAAACGUCUUUACAGACUUCCUCAUUUGUCGAUGAUUGGGAAUUCUGCCGUUGCUGUAUGCAAACUUGAGCACGUACUGCAUCGGUAGCCCAUUGUGCCGACCUCUUUUGAUACAACUUCAAGUGGCACUCGCUUCUUCCACAGAUUAUCUAUCAUGGUACGGAUUAGGUUGGAUAUCCAACUGCAUUUUAUGCUACUGUUUUUACCAAGUACCUUCAUCCCCCUUCGUCACAUACAGUCGAAAAGGAUCUAAUCGGAUGGAUUAAUUUUAAGAUCGUUCCACCUGUUUAAGAAAACAGUAAUCCGAAACUCAAAGGAAUCAAACUAAAAUGAAUUUGACUAUUGAAUCAAUGAAAUGAUUGAGAAUUGGGAAUACGGGCCACGAGAAAGGUUUCGUAAUGCAGCUGUGUCCUCUACUGUUGAAAGAAAUACAGGAGCCUACGAAAACUGGCCAAAGAAAUAAAGAAAAGAUGUAGAUCGAAAGAAGAAAGAUAUCAGAAAUGUCGGGAACGUGAAGAAUCAAGUGAAGGGAGUUAGAAGAACAGAAAAGAAAAAAAAAAUAAAGUUCCCGAUUGAGUCGAUUAUCGAUCCCUACACACCGCCACACACACGAGAUGAUUAACACGAUUAUUGCAACGCAAUCAUUUGUCUUAAAUAAAUGAAUCGGGGUUUGGAAAAUAACCUAGAAGAUUUUUGUGAGUGUCGAGACGCCGAAAAUCUUGUGUGAGACGAGUGAACGUAUAUGCAUCACUCGCCAUUGUUUUGCCUAUCAAAAGGUACUGAGAUUGUUGGACGAGGUGUACAGGUUAGAAAAAUGAUUUGCAAUUACGUUCUAACGAGUUUCCUUCUUUUUUGAAGUCAUCGACUGGAAUGUCUCGGCUUCUAUUGUUUGACUUAAGCAUAGAGAGUUUAGAUUUUUCGUUAUUUAUUUACUAGGUGGAUCAUGUGUUUGUAUGAUUGGAUUUCAAAGGCAAAAAUGAACCAGAAAAAAAAAAUCCAGUCCAAUAAAUAAUGAUGAAGCUAAAAUAACAAACAAAAACUGAACUCAAGAUUGUUUAAACGGCAGUAAGGUCUUUCCUCGAUUGUUUUGUUGUAUCAAUAUUUUUCUUUUUUGCUUAACUUUCUUCUUGAAAACGAAACGAUCGUGUUUCGGGCUCUAAUUUCACUCUCAGAUUUCUUUCUUCCUACUUUCAUAGUUGGAUGUUAUUGGAAAAAGGAUCGAACAGAUCGUUUUUCCAGUAUGUUUUUUUUGUUGUUGUUGAGAGAAGAUGACAAACUACACCAACGCAAAGCUAUUCGAUCGAGGAACAGACAAGAGCAGAAAUGACUAUAUCCAAUAGCAAUACUCCCAAAGUGCUAAAGAAGAGAGAUUGAAAAAAAAGAAAGAAGAACGGGCCUGUCGAUAUGAUCGAGACAUCAGCUACACGAGCGGAAAAAGAGAAUAGAUGUUUUACUAUUUAAAGGAGCUGAAAUGACGAGAGAAAAGUUGCAGCAGCAUCCAAUUUGAAUUGGCUUCGACUUCACCCAGAACUCGGGUGGAGAAUCACGUCAUAUAUUUUCGAAUCAUUUUCAGAGAAACAAAUGAAAAGACGAGUGGUCUAAAUUUGUUUAGCUGCAAGUCGUGAAGAAAAAUAUAAAGAAAGAAGAAAAACAACUUCAACGAAAUUUGUUUGAUUUUUUUUUUUUGUUUUUUGUUUUAUGGCUGUACGACGACAGUUUCGGCCAUUUUCUCUCUUAUUAUUUUCGUUCCGUGUCUAUAACUACAUGACGUUUCCGCAAAAUAAGAGAGAAAGAUAAGAAGGUAAAUGAGGAGAAAGAUGUGUUUGUUGAAUGGAGGAUUGUAAAAUUACAAAACCAAAAAAAAAAAGAGUGUAAAAUUGCUGGACGAAUUGAGAAAUUAAUUGCAUAAAAUGAGGAGAAGAAAAAAAAUUAAUCGGGAGAAAAAUCGAAAUAGAACAAACGUAGGGAUUGGUGGAAACGUCCUGAUCGACGAAUUCCUCGGAAGUAAAUCAAUCAUUAAAAAAAGAUAGUAAUAAUAGAAAUGGGGCGGGUGUGAGUGUGUGUGUGUGUGAAAAAAAAAAAAAAAUUCAACAACGGUAGAUUCAAUCCACUGAUAUACAUCAAAAAACUUAUUUUUUUUUUCUUACUUUUUUUUGCGUAAUAAAUGCCUCCGAGACAACAGACGGCCUUUAAAAUUUUUUUUUAUCGCUACUUGUACUACGGGAUUUUUUUUUUCUCUCUUUUGCUUCUUUGUAAAUACUUCACAUUUCUUUGUUCUUCUACUUUUUCUUUUUGUUGGUUGUUGCUCUUUGCGUCUCGCCCUCGUCACAUCGAUCGUGACGUAAAAAGUCCGAAAUUUGCGUUUUUUUUUUUUUUAAAC
rnacentral:lncRNA from 1 species